rnacentral:rRNA from 1 species
AGAGUUUGAUCCUGGCUCAGAGUGAACGCUGGCGGCGUGCCUAAUACAUGCAAGUCGAACGAUGAAGCUUUUAGCUUGCUAGAAGUGGAUUAGUGGCGCACGGGUGAGUAACACAUAGAUAACAUGCCCUUUAGUCUGGGAUAGCCACUGGAAACGGUGAUUAAUACUAGAUACUCCCUACGGGGGAAAGAAUUUCGCUAAAGGAUUGGUCUAUGUCCUAUCAGCUUGUUGGUGAGGUAAUGGCUCACCAAGGCUAUGACGGGUAUCCGGCCUGAGAGGGUGAACGGACACACUGGAACUGAGACACGGUCCAGACUCCUACGGGAGGCAGCAGUAGGGAAUAUUGCUCAAUGGGGGAAACCCUGAAGCAGCAACGCCGCGUGGAGGAUGAAGGUUUUAGGAUUGUAAACUCCUUUUGUUAGAGAAGAUAAUGACGGUAUCUAACGAAUAAGCACCGGCUAACUCCGUGCCAGCAGCCGCGGUAAUACGGAGGGUGCAAGCGUUACUCGGAAUCACUGGGCGUAAAGAGUGCGCAGGCGGGGUAGCAAGUCAGAUGUGAAAUGCUAAGGCUUAACCAUAGAACUGCAUUUGAAACUGCUAUUCUAGAGUGUGGGAGAGGUAGGUGGAAUUCUUGGUGUAGGGGUAAAAUCCGUAGAGAUCAAGAGGAAUACUCAUUGCGAAGGCGACCUACUGGAACAUUACUGACGCUCAUGCACGAAAGCGUGGGGAGCAAACAGGAUUAGAUACCCUGGUAGUCCACGCCCUAAACGAUGAAUGCUAGUUGUUGCCUUGCUUAGACUUGGCAGUAAUGCAGCUAACGCAUUAAGCAUUCCGCCUGGGGAGUACGGUCGCAAGAUUAAAACUCAAAGGAAUAGACGGGGACCCGCACAAGCGGUGGAGCAUGUGGUUUAAUUCGAAGAUACGCGAAGAACCUUACCUAGGCUUGACAUUGAUAGAAUCUGCUAGAGAUAGUGGAGUGCCACUUUUGUGGAGCUUGAAAACAGGUGCUGCACGGCUGUCGUCAGCUCGUGUCGUGAGAUGUUGGGUUAAGUCCCGCAACGAGCGCAACCCUCGUCCUUAGUUGCUAGCAGUUCGGCUGAGCACUCUAAGGAGACUGCCUUCGUAAGGAGGAGGAAGGUGAGGAUGACGUCAAGUCAUCAUGGCCCUUACGCCUAGGGCUACACACGUGCUACAAUGGGAUGUACAAAGAGAUGCAAUAGUGUGAGCUGGAGCCAAUCUCUAAAACAUCUCUCAGUUCGGAUUGUAGUCUGCAACUCGACUACAUGAAGCUGGAAUCGCUAGUAAUCGCAAAUCAGCAAUGUUGCGGUGAAUACGUUCCCGGGUCUUGUACUCACCGCCCGUCACACCAUGGGAGUUGUAUUUGCCUUAAGUCGGAAUGCUAAACUGGCUACCGCCCACGGCAGAUGCAGCGACUGGGGUGAAGUCGUAACAAGGUAACCGUAGGUGAACCUGCGGUUGGAUCACCU